AUUGAACGCUGGCGGCAUGCCUUACACAUGCAAGUCGAACGGCAGCGGGGACUUCGGUCCGCCGGCGAGUGGCGAACGGGUGAGUCAUGUAUCGGAACGUACCAUUGAGUGGGGGAUAACUAUACGAAAGGAUAGCUAAUACCGCAUAUUCUCUCCGGAGGAAAGCAGGGGACCUCAAGGCCUUGAGCUCCUGGAGCGACCGAUAGCAGAUUAGCUAGGUGGUGGGGUAAAAGCUCACCAAGGCGACGAUGUGUAGCGGGUGUGAGAGGAUGAUCCGCCACACUGGAACUGAGACACGGUCCAGACUCCUACGGGAGGCAGCAGUGGGGAAUUUUGGACAAUGGGGGCAACCCUGAUCCGGCUAUGCCGCGUGAGUGAAGAAGGCCUUCGGGUUGUAAAGCUCUUUCGGCCGGGAAAAAAUCGCAUGGGCUAAUAUCCUGUGUGGAUGAUGGUACCGGAAUAAGAAGCACCGGCUAACUACGUGCCAGCCGCCGCAGUAA
rnacentral:rRNA from 1 species